GACGUAGGGCGCGAGCGUUGUCCGGAUUUAUUGGGCGUAAAGAGCUCGUAGGCGGCUUGUUGCGUCGACUGUGAAAACCCGCGGCUUAACUGCGGGCUUGCAGUUGAUACGGGCAGGCUAGAGUUCGGUAGGGGAGACUGGAAUUCCUGGUGUAGCGGUGAAAUGCGCAGAUAUCAGGAGGAACACCGGUGGCGAAGGCGGAUCUCUGGGCCUUACCUGACGCUCAGGCACGAAAGCUAGGGGAGCGAACAGG
rnacentral:rRNA from 1 species